GCCACCUUAGCUCAGUUGGUAGAGCACCCGUUUUGUAAACGGGAGCGGGUCAGUUCGAGCCUGACAGGUGGCU
rnacentral:tRNA from 1 species